rnacentral:rRNA from 1 species
AUUGAACGCUGGCGGCAUGCCUUACACAUGCAAGUCGAACGGCAGCACGGGAGCAAUCCUGGUGGCGAGUGGCGAACGGGUGAGUAAUAUAUCGGAACGUACCCUAGAGUGGGGGAUAACGCAGCGAAAGUUGCGCUAAUACCGCAUACGAUCUACGGAUGAAAGUGGGGGAUCGCAAGACCUCAUGCUCAUGGAGCGGCCGAUAUCUGAUUAGCUAGUUGGUGGGGUAAAGGCCUACCAAGGCAUCGAUCAGUAGCUGGUCUGAGAGGACGACCAGCCACACUGGAACUGAGACACGG